rnacentral:rRNA from 1 species
UGCGCAGGCGGCCAUGUGUGUUAGGCGUGAAAGCCCGAGGCUUAACCUCGGAAUUGCACCUAAAACUACAUGGCUAGAGUACUGGAGAGGGUAGCGGAAUUCACGGUGUAGCAGUGAAAUGCGUAGAUAUCGUGAGGAACACCAAAGGCGAAGGCAGCUACCUGGACAGUUACUGACGCUCAGGCACGAAAGCGUGGGGAGCAAAAGGGAUUAGAUACCCCUGUAGUCCACGCCCUAAACGGUGCACACUAGGUCUUGGCGGAUUCGACCCCCCCAGGGCCCAAGCUAACGCGUUAAGUGUGCCGCCUGAGGACUACGGCCGCAAGGCUAAA